CACCGUCAGUACCUGAUUGACGUCAGGGUUUGAUGUAAGGAUCAUAUAUUAAGCAACAUAACCUGGCCAUAUAUCAUGGAAGUAAACUCAACACAGGAUGGUGAUAUCUUCAGUAUUGUCAGCUAAUUACCAUAUACAAAUGAUGCAGUAUGAGUACAAACGACAUUAGGUUAACAAGUUACAGCUUACUAGAUUUGUUUAACUCUGCAUGGAACGAUACGUAUGCGAGAGAUAUGUACACUUUUUGAGUAAGUGAUAUAGAUUAAACUAGAGUGGUGG